GCCAUCCCUUCGCGCCUGCCGUUUUGUCAUAGUUUUGUUUUCUGCAAGUCCGUGCACGCAGCUCAUCGGUAGAUGCACGGGUGCACGGCGUCGCAUUGCGACCUGCGGCAUUUUCUCGUGUUCGCGCAAUCGGUGUGCGACAUGUCGCAUGUGAAAUAUUUGAUAUAAGUGCCUCACGUCCAAGUCAAGCCGCCGUACGGGUGUAUGGCUGUGUGCCCCGUUCUCGGAAGCGUCGACGGGCUUCCGGCAUGCGGAUUUCAGAGUUUGGACUCGACUUUUGGUGAGGAUGUCGAUCGACCUUGGGCCUGGUGACAGCACACCCGACAUGGCCAAAGUGCAGCCUAUCAGUUGAGUGCCCCCGAAUGGACCAUCAACAUCGGAAAAUGAAGCAGAGCCAGGGAGAAAAAGUUCCGGUAACACCAUGCAUUCAGUAUGGUGGCCCAGACGUGUAUGCAAGCAACCUCCUUCAUGUUGACCAAGAACUACUCUUCAGUGUCUCGCAGACUUCCAUGCAAAGCCCUCAACAUUCUCGUCUCAGUGGAAUGGCUGCUCAUCUAUCAGCGUGUCCAGCACCAAGACUGCCAGUUGUAAAGCUUCUG